rnacentral:tRNA from 1 species
GCGGAUGUGGUGGAACGGCAGACACGCACGCUUGAGGGGCGUGUGAGGUAACUCGUAUGGGUUCAAAUCCCAUCAUCCGCACCA